rnacentral:tRNA from 1 species
GGAGCUAUACCCCAGUUGGUAGAGUGCUUGUCUUGCAUGCAUGAGGCCCUAGGUUCAAUCCCUAGUACCACCA